GGCUUCACCGCGCACGCAUAGCGAACUCGACUGCCAUUCAUAUCACGCGUCCACUCUACCCAAACAAGUUCACGCCCACCCUCAUCAAUGCAGUGACCACACUGUCUCCGCUCCCUCUUCAUCGGUUGCCGUCCGCCUUUUUCUUUUCCGCCACGCUCUUUUUUUUUCUUUCGCUUCGCGUUUCGCCCUCUUGCUGUUCUUCGUUGCCAGCGCUCGGCGCGCGACCUUCCGUGCCUCGGCUGCUUUGGGCGUUGCAGGGCGCGAAGUGAAAAGAGCGACACAACCAGGCGAUGAGGCGAGGAAAGGCAGUGCUCGUAGUCGCCGUUCAUGUGUGCAACCCUACACGCGAGAACUGUACUAAACGUAAAGAAAAAAAGCAAACGGGAGACAGCGCGCGCACUUUUUUUUUCUGAUCUCCUCCUCUCCGAGUCGAAGUUGCAUGUGUGCCUCUACGCGCAGCUCCGCCACCGCGCACGCACGUAUGCCAGCACAUUUUUUUUUUUGGCAGCGACACGGUUUAUAGGCACCUGAGCAGCAACGAAAGGGGAAAAACGGAGCUGCAGUCUCAGAGCCGAUGCAGAUCAUACCUGCCAUUGACCACAGAAGAAAAAAUUACGCAGUGUUUGCUGUCGCUGCCGCUUUUUGUGUGGGUCUUAUCUGUCCACCCCUCCAUAGCUUCCUCGUCACAUGAUCAGCAGUUCCGCUCUCCACCUCACCCAUGCCAUUCGAGGCGCCUAGCAGCUUGACAAGAGCAACAGCACCAUACAAGCCUCAACCUGUUGUGAUACGCACAGCUGGUCACCUCUGCUGCAUUGAUACCUCCUUGUUUUGACGUUUUUGUCGUUGCUUUCUCAUGGCAAGGCGCUCUUUCCCAUCUUGUUGCCCCCCUCCCCUCCUCCCACUGCCCUGUACCAUUUCUUCGUUUUGGUGUGACCCCCAGAGGCACCUUGCCUGUACUAUCCCCUUCCCUAUCGCCGUCGAGGAGGAUCUGCUCAAGCCCAUUACACAAGCAAAACAGCUGGCCUCUGCUCGCCUUUUUUUCUUGUGCCGCCCGCGUACUUCCGCGGUUGUAUUCGGGGCUUUCACGUAUCAGAGGGAAGCCGCUGUGUGUAUCUUCGGACGUUGGUCGUCCAUGUUAACGCUCUUCCUAUGUGUUGCCUGCGGUGAAGUUCACGCUUGCCGCAUCUGUGCCCCGCUGGUUGUCUUUCUGGCGCUUGUGUGCCUGUAUUUGAGCUCUUGUCAUGUUCGUCUUGCCCUUUUUCGUUGGGUCUCCGUACUCCUUCGUUGUGUCGGGUAUGCGAUCUUCAGGCAUGCGGCUUGUAGCGUGGGCACUGCCACCCCCUUACCUCCCUGGCUGUCUUUUAUGUUUACACAAUGACCUGCAGCCGUUUCUUCUGCCUGGUGCCCUUUCCAUUGGCAGCUGCGCGGAGACGCAUGAAGAAGGGGGCGCAGUUAGCACAGGGAGGACGGGGAGGGGUGGGGAGGUGGCGGUAACGGAGGGCACUAUCGCCACACGCGGGACGAGGCAAUGCGGACAGACAAAGUAGCGAUGAAGAAAGAGUCGGCGCCACGAUUUUGAGAACAUUUUACAUCGAAGGGGGAUGCAGGACUGCUUCGGCACUUGGAGGUCUCAUUCAGGCAAUAAAAGCGGCUGAGGAGGGAGAGAAAAUGCGGAGGAUGCUGGGUGCCAUUUCCGGGAUGAGAAGCAUGCGACGCUGCCAACCAAAGGCCUGAAUGACGUUUUCCGUGGUGCCUUUUCUUCAGCGCCGCCACCGCUAGCCCUGCUGCUCCGAGCUCUCCCGUUUUCGUGUCGCUUUCCCAUGGGCAUGGCUUUCCUUUUAUUCUCCUUGUUCCCCUGUUAACAUCGCAUGUGCGUACACGUAAGCGCCUACAUGUCACAUACUCACCAUCCAUGCC
rnacentral:misc_RNA from 1 species